UCAGGGAUGAACGCUAGCGGCAGGCUUAACACAUGCAAGUCGAGGGGUAUAGUUCUUCGGAACUAGAGACCGGCGCACGGGUGCGUAACGCGUAUGCAAUCUACCUUUACAGAGGGAUAGCCCAGAGAAAUUUGGAUUAAUACCUCAUAGUAUGUGAGAAUCGCAUGGUUUUCACAUUAAAGUUCCAACGGUAAAAGAUGAGCAUGCGUCCCAUUAGCUAGAUGGUAAGGUAACGGCUUACCAUGGCAACGAUGGGUAGGGGUCCUGAGAGGGAGAUCCCCCACACUGGUACUGAGACACGGACCAGACUCCUACGGGAGGCAGCAGUGAGGAAUAUUGGACAAUGGGCGCAAGCCUGAUCCAGCCAUGCCGCGUGCAGGAUGACGGUCCUAUGGAUUGUAAACUGCUUUUGUACAGGAAGAAACACUCCCUCGUGAGGGAGCUUGACGGUACUGUAAGAAUAAGGAUCGGCUAACUCCGUG
rnacentral:rRNA from 1 species